CAGCACGCUUCCAAGCAGUUAAUAAAUGAGUAACGACCCAAAUGAUAUACAAUCCCAUGAUUCAUAAAUGAAGUUCAACCUAGUUUUGCAGUACAUGAGAAAGAACAGAUUACUGAUAGCCCAAUAUAACCAUCAUGUGUAACACCCAGAAGCCCUUUGGGCUGCAAAUUUUUGUUUCUUACAACUGCAAAUAAAUUUUCAAUUCCAAAUUUUCCAUCCACAUUCAAGCUGUUGCUCAAUAUUUGUUCAUGGCAUCAUUUCAUGAAGAGCAUCCUUCAAGCCCCAAUUUGGAAGUCAGCCAAGCGCAGACCUCAUCCAUCUCUUGCGGGAUUGUGUAGUGACCAAGCCCAUUGUAUGCUUUGAAUGUCACAUCCUGGAAACCAGUUGAAGACAAAACCCGUAACGAUUUUUCACCAAAUUUAUAAGGAACCACAUCAUCACCUUUGCCAUGACAGAGCAAUAUGGGAAGGGUUACAGCACGCCUUGCAGCUUCUUCUACCCCCUCAAUUUUGUUACUCAAGGUCUUUGAACAUGGAAGCCAGCCACUUAAUCCAACAACUGCACUCAAAUUGGCGGGAUACUGAUUUCCAUUUGCAUAUUUGCCUAAGGUAAAGCAGGUUGCAGAGAAUAAAGAAGUAGCUGCACCCAUGCUAAAGCCUCCAAUACCAAGUUUAAUAUCAGCAGGUUCUGUUGACAAUAAAUUUGCGACAUGUGCUGCUGCAGCAUCCAAACCCUCUAUAUCGUCAGGAGCAUCUUCUGAAAGGUCUCCCACAUC
rnacentral:misc_RNA from 1 species